ACAGAAGUCAAACCAGAACUGGAACCAUCGCUCUGGUCAGGCUACCACUCUCACUGAUAAACAAGCGUGGUCCACGCCUCUGCAGGGGGCGCUCCCCUCCCGGUGGAGGUCAGAAAUGGAAAGGAAGACUCUCCAUUACCCCUUGUGAGCAGAAGACAUGCAGAUGGGAAAUACACAGAGGAGAAGGACAUGAAAACAGAGGCAGAUUGGAGUGAAGGGGCCACAAGCCAAAGAAUGCCUGCAACCACCAGAAACUGGUAGAAGCAAGAAUUUCCCUCCUGGAGCCUCCAGAGGGAAUGCUGCCCCACUGACACCUGGUUUUAGCCCAGUGAUGUUGGUUUUGGAUCUCUGCCCUCCACAACUCUAAGAAAAUAAAUUUAUGUUGUCUUAA